GACGAACGCUGGCAGCGUGCUUAACACAUGCAAGUCGAACGGUGAAGCUCCAGCUUGCUGGAGUGGAUCAGUGGCGAACGGGUGAGUAACACGUGAGCAACCUGCCCCUGACUCUGGAAUAAGCGCUGGAAACGGCGUCUAAUACUGGAUACGAGAAGGGUCCGCAUGGGCACUUUCUGGAAAGUUUUUCGGUUGGGGAUGGGCUCGCGGCCUAUCAGCUUGUUGGUGAGGUAAUGGCUCACCAAGGCGACGACGGGUAGCCGGCCUGAGAGGGCGACCGGCCAGACUGGGACUGAGACACGGCCCAGACUCCUACGGGAGGCAGCAGUGGGGAAUAUUGCACAAUGGGCGAAAGCCUGAUGCAGCGACGCCGCGUGAGGGAUGACGGCCUUCGGGUUGUAAACCUCUUUCAGCAGGGAAGAAGCGAAAGUGACGGUACCUGCAGAAGAAGCACCGGCUAACUACGUG
rnacentral:rRNA from 1 species